rnacentral:rRNA from 1 species
AACCUACGGGAGGCAGCAGUGGGGAAUAUUGCACAAUGGGGGAAACCCUGAUGCAGCGACGCCGCGUGAGUGAAGAAGUAUUUCGGUAUGUAAAGCUCUGUCAGCAGGGAAGAAAAUGACGGUACCCAAGGAAUAAGCCCCGGCUAACUACGUGCCAGCAGCCGCGGUAAUACGUAGGGGGCAAGCGUUGUUCGGAAUGACUGGGCGUAAAGGGUGUGUAGGCGGUGUAGCAAGUUAGAAGUGAAAUACCUAGAGCUUAACUCAGGUGCUGCUUCUAAAACUGCUAUACUUGAGUGCAGUAGAGG